CAGAGAGAGAGACGCCGAGUGAGGCCUGAAACACACAGAGAGAGAGACGCCGAGUGAGGCCUGAAACACACAGAGAGAGAGAGACGCCGAGUGAGGCCUGAAACACACAGAGAGAGAGAGACGCCGAGUGAGGCCUGAAACACACAGAGAGAGAGAGACGCCGAGUGAGGCCUGAAACACACAGAGACAGACGCCGAGCGAACCUUGCGUGUGAUUGCGUAGUGCCCCUUCAUGGCGUUGAGGCUCCAUUUGAUGUCCUGACAGGAAAUCAUCCUGAAGUCUCCCAUCAAGAGGUCAGCUGCCUGCAUCGCCGCCUCAGAACCCACCUGACCUAACGACCCGUAGUCAAACAGGUCCUCUGCAGACUACAGAGAGAGAGAGAGAGAGACAGGGCUAACACUAGGGACAGGGCGUUUCAACAGAGAGACAGGACUAACACUAGGGACAGGGCGUUUCAAC
ensembl:lncRNA